AAAUAUGUGUCUCUUCAAUAAUCAUGUAUUAUUGAAAUUGGCUACAGAAAUUGUAAGCUUUAGGGAAAAAAAAUUUGAAUCUUUAACUGUUGCAGAAAACAUUAAAUGUUACUUCCCUUCCAUGUGGCAAUGCUCAUUUGACACGAGCUUCCCUCCUUUGGUCAGCGACUCACUGGCCCAUUUUUCCUUAGUUCUUUCCUCUACAUGGUGGAAGAGGUUUGCCACAUAGGCAUUGAUUGUGAGCAUAGGCACUUGCAGGGAAGAUAUUAUAUGGUCUUCCUUGUGGGAUCUCUCCACAAAGUCUGUUGGCUCUGAAAUUUGCAUGUCUCAAAUUUUUAAUUCCCAAAAAGCUCCUUGGAAUUGACCCUGUGAGCUCAUUGAUAGACAUGUCAAGCCAUUGAAGUUUUGAUACGAGUCCCAGGCUUGUUGGAAUGAUGCCCAUUAUUUUGUUCCGGGAAAUAUCUAACCUUUCUAGUUCAACCAAGUUUGAAAUUGAACUGGGGAUGCGGCCUGCAAUCUUGUUGCUUCCUAUGUUGAGGACCUUCAAGCUUAAUCCUUCAGUGACUUCUGGAAUCGUGCCAGAAAUUUGAUUGCCUGAUACAUCUAAAAUCUCCAAAAAGCUGCUUGUCCUGUUGUUUAAGAUUCUCGAGAGAGACCCAGAAAGCUGAUUUUUCUGGAGCUGAACAGAGGAAAUCCCAUCUGGCAGUUUGAUCUCUAAAAGAUCAAACUUCAAUUGGUUAUUUGAGAGUUUGAGUCUUUGCAAAUUAGACAUAUUGGUGAAGAACCCAGAAAUGCCACCUGUGAAAAAGUUAUCUGACAGGUCUAUGGAGUUCAAAGAACCUGGUUUUGUAAAUUUUGGAAGGCUCCCUCUAAGUUUGCUGCCCGCUAAAUGCACAUCUGAAAGUUCCUUGUCUAAGAUCCAAUUUGGAACUGUCCCUAAACUGAGAUUGUUGUAAGACAGGUCUAUUGACAAUAGAGAAGGAAGACCCCUGCCUUGAGUAAUGGGUAAAGGGUCUGAGAAUGCAUUUCUAGAUAAGUUAAGGUACCACAGGUUCUGUAAUCUUGAAAUGGAUUCUGGAAUUUGACCUGUAAGCCUGUUAGAACUCAAAGAAAGAUGGGUAAGGGAUUUCAAGCUGCCAAUCUGGUUUGGGAUUUUUCCUAUCAGUUGGUUAUGGUCCAAGGACAAGUCCUGAAGUUUCUCUAAAUUGAAUAUGGAAGUAGGCAGUUGUCCUGACAAUUGGUUGUUGGAAAGAUCAAAGAGGGUAAGGUUUUGAAACUGGCCAAGAAUAUCUGGAAUUGACCCAGACAACAAAUUGAAACUAAGCUCAAGAGUUUGCAAACUAUGGAGAUUUUGGAAAUUAGUUGGGAUAGAACCUGUUAAGGAAUUUCUUGCCAGACCUAAUAAUUGAAGCUUUCUCAGAUUCCCCAGGUUAGGAGGAAUCUGCCCUGUCAGAUGGUUCCCGUUUAGUGACAGAGUGUUGAGGUUGAACAAAUGGCCCAAGCUAGGAGGAAUGUUCCCUUGAAGAGAGUUGUCUUCCAGGAUCAUUUGUGCGAGAUGAACCAAACCCGAGAAGCUUUCAGGAAUAGAACCUGCAAUAUGCUUCAUACCACUUAUCACCAUUACCUCUAAGAAAGACAAACUGCCCAGAGAAGGUGACAAAGUGCCACUCAUGUAAUGGUCGCUAUCCCUCUCAGGCCCCUGCAACACCAACCCAGUUACCCUCCCUGUAGCAGGAUUGCACUGAACACCCUCCCAAUCUCCUCCACAGCAAUCUCUCCCAGUCCAUGAAGAGAGAAUCCCUGUAGUGUCCUGAAGGAUUCUAGCUUUGAACCCAAGAAGAGCUGCCCUAUCCGUCUCUGAGCAAACUGGUGUCUGUAGUGGGCUUGUCUGAGCAAGCGACACUGAAAAUACAUAAAAAACGGAAUAUAGGAAAAAAAGCUUGAAAACCCACUUAAGAAUCUGCAUUUUAGGAUAUGGGUCUUGAUCAGAUCGCAGAGAUAGGUGUUAGAAUAAAUAGGAAUUUUUCCUAAGAAGUUGGGAUCUGACAAGAAGAACUUUGAAUGGGAAAAAGAUCAGUAUUCUAACAUGGAUAAAGUAUAAAAAGGUGCAAAGCAGUCAUGGUGGUUUAUUCUAUUCUACUCUAGUUCCUUCACGUAGACAGGAAGGUAUAAUGAUGAUAAAGAGAAAGAGGAGAUAAAAGAUUUCAAGUGUGAAUGUCAAUUAUAAUGUGGUUUUAUACUAGCAUGAAACGCAAGAACUUUUGAUGGGUAUGCCCAAAACAGUAACAGUUUGAAGAGAUUCACAUAGCCGUUGGAUGAAUCACGAGGAUACCAAUCGUUACUUGAAUGUUGGAGCGCACUUUGAUUCAAAAUAGACCCAGCAACCUUUUCGAAAUCAAAUCACUGCACAUUUUUUGCUCUAUCUAAUCGUUUCUUGUUUUGAUCUGCU
rnacentral:misc_RNA from 1 species